AACGCGAAGAACCUUACCUACCCUUGACAUGUUGCGAACCUGGCUGAAAGGCUGGGGUGCCGAAAGGAACGCAAACACAGGUGCUGCAUGGCUGUCGUCAGCUCGUGUCGUGAGAUGUUGGGUUAAGUCCCGUAACGAGCGCAACCCUUGUUCUUCGUUGCCAUCAAGUAAAGUUGGGCACUCGAAGAAGACUGCCGGUGACAAACCGGAGGAAGGUGGGGAUGACGUCAAGUCAUCAUGGCCUUUAUGGGUAGGGCUACACACGUGCUACAAUGGGGCGUACAGAGGGUUGCCAACCUGCGAAGGGGAGCUAAUCCUGCAAAACGUCUCGUAGUCCGGAUCGGAGUCUGCAACUCGACUCCGUGAAGUUGGAAUCGCUAGUAAUCGCGAAUCAGAAUGUCGCGGUGAAUACGUUCCCGGGCCUUGUACACACCGCGAGC
rnacentral:rRNA from 1 species